UACGGAGGGUGCAAGCGUUAUCCGGAUUUACUGGGUUUAAAGGGUGUGUAGGCGGGUCUAUAAGUCAGUGGUGAAAUCUCCGGGCUCAACCCGGAAACUGCCAUUGAUACUAUAGGUCUUGAAUAUUGUGGAGGUGGGCGGAAUGUGUCAUGUAGCGGUGAAAUGCUUAGAGAUGACACAGAACACCGAUUGCGAAGGCAGCCACUACCGCAACUAUUCGACAGCUGUAGGCACGAAAGCGGUGGGGAAUCAAACAGGGAUUAAGAGUACCCUU
rnacentral:rRNA from 1 species